GACGGAGGAUGCAAGCGUUAUCCGGAAUGAUUGGGCGUAAAGCGUCCGCAGGUGGCAGUUCAAGUCUGCUGUCAAAGACCGGGGCUUAACUUCGGAAAGGCAGUGGAAACUGAACAGCUAGAGUAUGGUAGGGGCAGAGGGAAUUCCUGGUGUAGCGGUGAAAUGCGUAGAUAUCAGGAGGAACACCAAUGGCGAAGGCAGCUCACUGGGACGGUAUUGACGCUGAGACGCGAAAGCGUGGGGAGCAAACAGG
rnacentral:rRNA from 1 species